AGGAGAACUCUGUGGUUCCGGGGCGUGCUGGGAGGCCUGCAUUUGAAGAUGGAGGCGGGAAGAUGGAGGCGGUAGCUGUCACUAGGUUGGGGUUCUCCCGCGCGGGAGGCCUAUGGGACUGUGUCGUGUCCUGAACAGUCGAGAGGAGCUUGUUUGCAAUGAGUCUUCCGCGCCGGAGUAGGAAACGGCGGCGUUCAUCGUCCGGCUCCGACACGUUCUCGGGAGAUGGUGAUAGCUUUGUUAGCCCUCAGCUCCGGUGUGGACCGGUGCUGAGUCCACCUCCGGGGCUGGGACGCGGCCGGAGGCUCACAGGGACAGGAACAAACAAGCGAAGAGUUUCUGAUGACCAGAUAGACCAGCUGCUGUUGGCAAAUUGGGGACUUCCUAAAGCAGUUCUGGAGAAAUACCAUAGUUUUGGUGUAAGAAAGAUGUUCGAAUGGCAGGCAGAAUGCCUUUUGCUUGGUCACGUCUUGGAAGGAAAGAAUCUAGUUUAUUCAGCUCCUACAAGUGCUGGGAAGACUCUUGUUGCAGAGUUACUUAUUCUGAAGCGGGUUUUGGAAACACGGAAGAAAGCGUUGUUUAUUUUGCCCUUUGUGUCUGUGGCUAAAGAGAAGAAAUGCUACCUCCAGAGUCUGUUUCAGGAAGUAGGACUAAAGGUAGAUGGCUAUAUGGGCAGCACCUCACCAACGGGACAGUUCUCCUCCUUGGACAUUGCUGUUUGCACUAUUGAGAGAGCCAAUGGGCUGGUCAAUCGCCUCAUUGAGGAAAAUAAGAUGGAUCUGUUAGGAAUGGUGGUCGUGGAUGAGCUGCACAUGCUGGGGGACUCUCACCGAGGGUAUCUGCUGGAGCUGUUGCUGACCAAGAUUUGCUACGUCACUCGUAAAUCAGCAUCGCACCAGGCAGAGUCAGCCAGCACUCUGUCUAAUGCUGUGCAGAUUGUUGGCAUGAGUGCUACUCUUCCUAAUUUGCAGCUUGUGGCUUCCUGGCUGAAUGCUGAACUUUACCAUACCGACUUUCGCCCUGUACCACUUUUGGAAUCAAUAAAAAUAGGAAAUUCCAUAUAUGAUUCUUCAAUGAAGCUUGUGAGAGAAUUUCAACCCCUGCUCCAAGUGAAGGGAGAUGAAGACCACAUUGUUAGUUUAUGCUAUGAGACCAUUCAGGAUAACCAUUCAGUAUUAAUCUUUUGUCCAUCAAAAAAAUGGUGUGAGAAGGUAGCAGAUAUCAUUGCCCGAGAGUUUUACAAUCUGCACCAUCAACCUGAGGGGUUGGUAAAAUCAUCUGAAUUUCCACCAGUGAUUCUAGACCAAAAGAGCCUUCUGGAAGUGAUGGAUCAGUUAAAACGUUCACCUUCAGGACUAGACUCUGUGUUGAAGAAUACUGUGCCAUGGGGAGUAGCGUUUCAUCAUGCAGGUCUUACUUUUGAGGAGAGGGAUAUCAUCGAAGGAGCCUUCCGUCAAGGUUUCAUUCGGGUCUUGGCAGCAACGUCUACUCUUUCUUCUGGAGUGAAUCUUCCUGCUCGUCGGGUGAUUAUUCGCACUCCAAUUUUCAGUGGUCAGCCUUUAGAUAUCCUCACUUAUAAGCAGAUGGUUGGGCGUGCUGGCAGGAAAGGAGUAGACACAAUGGGUGAAAGUAUCCUAGUUUGUAAGAACUCUGAGAAAUCCAAGGGCAUUGCUCUGCUUCAAGGAUCUCUGGAGCCUGUGCACAGCUGUCUGCAGAGACAGGGAGAAGUCACUGCUAGCAUGAUACGAGCUAUUCUGGAGAUAAUCGUUGGUGGGGUGGCCAGUACGUCACAAGAUAUGCAGACUUAUGCCGCCUGCACCUUCUUGGCUGCUGCUAUACAGGAAGGGAAGCAAGGGAUGCAGAGAAAUCAAGAUGAUGCUCAGCUUGGAGCGAUUGAUGCCUGUGUGACGUGGCUGUUAGAAAAUGAGUUCAUCCAGGUGGCAGAGCCCGGGGACGGCACAGGAGGAAAGGUGUAUCACCCAACACAUCUUGGAUCAGCUACUCUUUCUUCUUCACUGUCUCCAACUGAUACCCUUGAUAUUUUUGCUGACCUCCAAAGAGCAAUGAAAGGCUUUGUUUUAGAGAAUGACCUUCAUAUUGUCUACCUGGUUACACCUGUGUUUGAAGAUUGGAUUAGUAUUGAUUGGUACCGAUUUUUCUGUUUAUGGGAAAAAUUACCAACUUCUAUGAAAAGGGUGGCAGAGCUGGUUGGAGUGGAGGAAGGGUUCUUGGCUCGAUGUGUGAAAGGAAAAGUAGUAGCUAGAACUGAGAGACAGCAUCGGCAGAUGGCCAUCCAUAAAAGGUUUUUCACAAGUCUUGUGUUACUGGAUUUAAUCAGUGAAAUUCCCUUAAAGGACAUUAAUCAGAAGUAUGGAUGUAAUCGUGGACAGAUUCAGUCUUUGCAACAGUCAGCUGCUGUCUAUGCAGGAAUGAUUACGGUGUUUUCCAACCGCCUGGGCUGGCACAACAUGGAACUACUGCUUUCCCAGUUUCAGAAGCGUCUUACGUUUGGCAUCCAGAGAGAGCUGUGUGACCUCAUCCGGGUGUCCUUACUCAACGCGCAGAGAGCCAGGUUCCUGUAUGCCUCUGGCUUUCUCACCGUGGCAGAUCUUGCCAGAGCUGAUAGUGCGGAGGUAGAGGUGGCUCUGAAGAACUCUUUGCCUUUCAAAAGUGCCCGGAAGGCAGUGGAUGAAGAAGAGGAAGCAGCUGAAGAACGGCGGAGUAUGAGAACUAUUUGGGUGACUGGCAAGGGCUUAUCUGCAAGGGAAGCAGCAGCCUUAAUAGUGGAAGAAGCUAAAAUGAUUCUACAGCAGGACUUAAUUGAAAUGGGAGUACGGUGGGAUCCGAAGUCACCCUUGAGUUCUAGCACACACUCACGGACCAGCACGUCAGAAGUAAAGGAACACACGUUCAAAUCCCAGACUAAGAGUUCUCAUAAAAGGUUAGCAUCAAUGGGCAGAAAUAGCAUUAGAGCAAGUGGGUCUAAUGACAAGCCGUCCCCAGAUGCAGAGCGAGGCAUAGAUGACUGCAGCGAGCAUGCAGACUCUCUCUGUAAGUUCCAGGGCAAUUUCGAGCCCCAGACACCCUCCAUUUGUACAGCAAGAAAACGGACUUCUUUAGGUAUAAACAAAGAAAUGCUUCGAAAGUCUCUGAAAGAAGGAAAGCCAAGCACUAAGGAAGUUCUUCAAACUUUCUCAUCGGAGAAAACAAGAAAAACUGCUUUGAGUUUUAGUUCAGAGCAAGUGAACAACACUUUACCAUCUGGGAGAGACAGAAAGUAUCAGAAAAAAUCUUGGGGCAGUAGUCCUGUGCGUGACUCUGGGAUGCAUAGAGGUGAUUUACAGGGACAGACUAUGUGUACAUCUGCUCUAUGUGAAGACUCACAGAAGUCCUUAGAGGAGCAGAAUGCAGAAUUUAGAAGUCCAGGGCUAUUUGCAAAACAUCUACCUUCUUGUGCCAAAGAAAAAUGCAAGAAGCCCUCACUCCCUUUACAAAGGCAGCAGGCUUGCUCAAGGAGAAGCACAGAGAGCUGUGCUGCUGUGGGGCAUCCCGCUGCAGGGUCGUCCCCUGCUGCUGCUAGAGACAGAAGAGGACUGGCUGCUCGGGAGACAGAAAAGGGAAAUGAGGCGCUCACGGAGAAUGGUGGAGAAAGCCAGCUCCAAGACACCUACCCAGUCAGCCAGUACCUGGAAUACCACAGUGAGAAACACACAAACACUUGCACCAGACAGAAGACAUUAACAGAGGGACAAGCUGGUAGUAGUUAUGUGGCCAGAGACUCAAAUGAUGCUGCACCCAUCAAAUGUGAACGUAUGAAGCUUAAUAGCAAAGACCGCGACUCAAAUCCUUGUCGUCAGGCAUUGGGAAGUUACACAGGCAGGACUGAGGCACUUCAGUCAACUGCAAAACUUGGCCAAGCAGGAGGCCAGUGUGAAAAUCUUCUAAAUUCUUCUGGAGUACAAGGAAAAACAGGUGCUCAUGCAACAAAUAGAACUGAACAUAGUCAUGCUUCUAACCCAGCCUUCUGUGACUUUGGAGAUAGCUUAGACUUGGAUACUCAGUCAGAGGAAAUAAUUGAGCAGAUGGCAACUGAAAAUACCAUGCAAGGAGCAAAAGCAGUAGUGAUAAUGGAAGAGGGUUCCGCCAUGCAGAACAAGUGUCACAGCACUCCAGGUGACCAGCAUGUCCCAGGAGCAGCCAACACAGACCAUGUGGACAGUAAGAAGGUUGAGUCUGUGAAAGCAAACACCGAAAAGAACAUCAAUAGAGGCGCUCCAGUCAGCCUCAUCUUCCAUACUCAAGGGGAAAAUGGCGCUUGCUUUAAAGGGAAUGAGCAUUCUGUUACUGAUUCCCAAUUAAACAGUUUUCUUCAAGGGUUUGAAACACAAGAAAUAGUGAAGCCAAUCAUACCGCUGGCUCCUCAAAUGAGAACUCCUACUGGUGUGGAGGAAGAAAGUCUGCCUGAAACCAGUUUGAAUAUGAGUGAUAGUAUACUAUUUGACAGUUUUGGAGAAGAUGGCUUCGGACAAGGACAGUCACCUGAUAUAAAGGCAAAUCAGCCACUCCUUUCUGAAAUGACACCAAACCAUUUCAGCAAUCCUCCACACCCACAAGAAGACCCAGUUAUGACACCAACUGUGAGUGAGCCUCAGGGUACUCAGCAGCAAGGAGUUUGUCUCAGUGGUGAAUCUAUUAUAUUUUCAGACAUAGACUCUGCUCAGGUCAUUGAAGCCUUAGACAAUAUGGCUGCAUUUCAUGUGCAAGAGAACUGUAACUCAGUAGCCCUUAAAACAUUAGAACCCAGUGAUUCUGCAGUGCUGGGUAAUGAGUGUCCCCAAGGAAAACUGGUCAGAGGAGAUCAAAAUGAAGGGUCCCCAAAGCCCAAACUCACAGAGACAAAUCAAGAUAAUUCAUUCACUUGGUCAGGAGCAUCAUUUAACUUAAGUCCAGAACUGCAAAGGAUUUUAGAUAAAGUAUCUAGUCCUCGAGAAAAUGAAAAGCCCAAGAUGAUACAUGUAAACUUGUCUUCCUUUGAAGGAAACAGCAAAGAGUCACAUGAAAGAGAGGAAAUAAAUUCAGAUUUGGGGACAGUUCAGAGAACUUCAGUUUUCCCCAGUAAUGAAGUUAAAAACAGGACUGAAGGGCUAGAGAGCAAAGCCAGGCAUGGUGGAGCCUCAUCUCCCUUGCCUCGUAAAGAAAGUGCUGCAGCUGAUGACAAUGGCCUCAUUCCUCCUACACCCGUUCCUGCUUCUGCUUCUAAGGUAGCCUUUCCAGAGAUUCUCGGAACAUCUGUAAAACGUCAGAAAGCCAGCAGUGCUUUACAGCCAGGGGAAAGUUGUUUAUUUGGCUCACCUUCAGACAAUCAAAACCAGGAUUUGAGUCAAGAGCUUAGAGACAGCCUCAAGGACUAUGAUGGUUCUGUUGCAGACACAAGUUUUUUUCUGCAGUCUCAGGAUGGACUGCUGUUAACUCAAGCCUCAUGCAGCUCAGAGAGUCUGGCCAUAAUUGACGUAGCGAGUGAUCAGAUUCUCUUUCAGACAUUUGUGAAGGAGUGGCAAUGCCAAAAGCGCUUUUCCAUCUCUCUGGCUUGUGAAAAGAUGACAAGUUCAAUGUCUUCCAAAACUGCUACCAUAGGUGGAAAGUUGAAGCAAGUUAGCUUGCCACAGGAAGCCACUGUUGAAGAUGCUGGGUUCCCUGUGCGUGGCUGUGAUGGUGCUGUGGUAGUUGGACUAGCAGUGUGCUGGGGUGCAAAGGAUGCCUAUUAUUUGUCACUGCAGAAGGAACAAAAGCAGUCUGAAAUAAGUCCCAGUUUGGCCCCACCACCUCUGGACGCAACACUAACUGUGAAGGAGAGGAUGGAGUGCCUUCAGUCCUGCUUGCAAAAGAAGUCUGAUCGAGAGCGGUCUGUUGUCACCUAUGAUUUCAUCCAGACCUAUAAAGUCCUCCUCCUGUCAUGUGGCAUCUCCCUGGAGCCCAGUUAUGAAGACCCCAAGGUGGCAUGCUGGCUUCUCGACCCAGAUUCUAAGGAGCCAACUCUUCAUAGCAUAGUGACCAGUUUUCUCCCCCAUGAGCUAGCACUCCUAGAAGGAAUGGAGACAGGCCCAGGAAUUCAGAGCCUGGGGCUAAAUGUGAACACUGAACAUUCUGGGAGGUACAGAGCAUCUGUGGAGUCUGUUCUCAUCUUCAACUCCAUGAAUCAACUCAACUCUUUGUUGCAGAAGGAAAACCUUCAUGAUAUUUUCUGCAAAGUGGAGAUGCCCUCUCAGUACUGCCUGGCCUUGCUAGAACUAAAUGGAAUUGGCUUUAGUACUGCGGAGUGUGAAAGCCAGAAGCAUGUUAUGCAAGCCAAGCUGGACGCCAUUGAGACCCAAGCCUAUCAGCUGGCUGGCCACAGUUUUUCCUUUACAAGUGCAGAUGACAUCGCACAGGUUUUAUUUUUGGAACUAAAGUUACCACCGAAUGGAGAGAUGAAAACGCAAGGCAGCAAAAAGACUCUGGGUUCCACCAGAAGAGGGAAUGAGAGUGGCCGCAGAAUGAGGCUGGGAAGACAGUUCAGCACUAGUAAGGAUAUUUUAAAUAAAUUAAAGGGCUUGCAUCCUUUACCAGGCCUGAUACUGGAAUGGAGAAGAAUCAGUAAUGCUAUUACCAAGGUGGUCUUCCCUCUGCAGCGGGAAAAGCACCUGAACCCCCUUCUCAGAAUGGAGAGGAUCUACCCGGUGUCACAGUCACACACGGCUACAGGACGGAUAACCUUUACAGAACCCAAUAUCCAGAAUGUGCCAAGAGAUUUUGAGAUUAAAAUGCCAACACUAGUAAGGGAGAGCCCACCUUCUCAAGCUCCAAAAGGCCGGUUCCCAAUGGCAAUAGGACAAGAUAAGAAGGUUUAUGGCCUGCACCCCGGGCACAGAACACAGAUGGAAGAGAAGGCCUCAGAUAGAGGGGUGCCAUUUUCAGUGAGCAUGCGCCAUGCCUUUGUGCCUUUCCCAGGUGGGCUGAUCCUGGCUGCCGACUACUCUCAGCUUGAACUGAGGAUCCUGGCUCACUUGUCUCGUGACUGUCGUCUCAUUCAAGUCUUAAAUACGGGAGCGGAUGUGUUCAGGAGCAUUGCUGCCGAGUGGAAGAUGAUUGAGCCUGAUGCUGUUGGUGACGAUCUGAGGCAGCACGCAAAGCAGGGAUUAAUCAUUUCAUGAGGGACACAGUGAAGAACUGUAGAAAAAAUGGAUUUGUUGAGACAAUUUUGGGAAGACGUAGAUAUUUGCCAGGAAUCAAAGACGACAAUCCUUAUCAUAAAGCACACGCUGAACGUCAGGCCAUCAACACAACAGUCCAGGGAUCAGCUGCUGAUAUAGUCAAAAUAGCCACAGUUAAUAUUCAGAAGCAAUUAGAGACCUUCCGUUCAACCUUCAAAUCCCACGGUCAUCGGGAAAGUAUGCUCCAGAAUGACCGAACAGGAUUGUUGCCCAAGAGGAAACUUAAAGGGAUGUUUUGUCCCAUGAGAGGAGGAUUCUUCAUCCUUCAACUUCACGACGAGCUUUUAUAUGAAGUGGCAGAAGAGGAUGUUGUUCAGGUGGCUCAGAUUGUCAAGAAUGAAAUGGAAUGUGCUAUAAAACUUUCUGUGAAGCUGAAAGUGAAAGUGAAAAUAGGUGCCAGCUGGGGAGAGCUGAAGGACUUUGAUGUGUGAUGGUACAGUUAACCAGAUCCCCAGAGCAGCCUGGUAGACAGUCACUUAGAAUGCAUAGAGUCUGCCCUUUGACCUGCUCUUAAACAAGCAGGUCUCCAGUGGGUUUCUAAUGUAUACCUCAGUCCAGCCCCUGUGGUGUCACAAGGCUUUGAGGGGAGAUUUAUUAGUUAUCCUCACUCUCAAAGAGUAUCUAUGAAUUUGCCUUUCAUAAUUUAUUGGAGUGUUAAACAGUCUCAGAAUGUAUGCUUGAAAAAUGCACUUAGCACUUUGGGUUCUCAACUGUGUAGAAUGUGAAGGAGUGGAGCUGCUGCCUCAGGGCCAUUUUUAUUCCUGUCAAGGACUCCAGCACUCAUAAUGUAAUCCCCCAAGAGCCACGGGCAGUGCUCAGCUCCAGUCAUUAGAGUUAUGCAGUUUGUGUGAUCUUUUUCUACAGUAAAAACUUCUGAAGUAGAAUUUUAAAAUCUCAAAUUGAAAAUCUAUAAGACAGUAAGCUGUGUGAAAGGCAUCUAGAAUGAGUUUUCAUGAACUGUUGCCGCUUGUUCUUCUCAUCGGCGGUCCAACAAGGAAGGAUUUAGAGCACUCUUAAAAUGAGCUGUUCCCCAUAAGAAGUGUCUGUCAGCUUAGACAUUGAUUGCACUUGAACCUAACACUGCCAGGCCAGGAAAACGCCCCUUUGCUAGCUAGCCCCUUAGUGCCUGUAUUUGUGGUAUGAUAUGAAGAGAAUUCUCAGGCUUAAAACAUUGGAUUUCUUUACUCAUAACUAAUAUAUCUUUUUGCUGUUCAAAUAAAUUUAUGGGAAUUUAUAUUAAUGUUUUUAAUUUUUAAAAAUCUAUUUGGUCGAAGAGUAUCAGAAACCUUUGUACUUUAUCAGAGGAUUUUUUUGUGUGUGUUAAUCAUGAUGAAAAGAGAUACUUGCUUCAUCAGAUACAGUUGGAUGGAUGGGAAGGGAGAGGAAGGGGGCAGAAGAUGGCCCCAAACUCUCAGUCCUGACUCCUCCAUUCUUAAAUGAUGAAUUUAUAGGCAUGAACUGCCACCCCUGUUUCAUUAUUCCUUGGGAUAUUAUAUCAUAUAUAGACACACACACACAUAUAUAUGUAUAAUCAGCUAUACUGUGUUUCUCAAGAAGAAAAUCUGUACUGCUCUCAGUUUUCUAGUGGGUUGAAGCCAGUGAAUCUAUAUGAUUCUCCCUCCACACCUUCCUUACCACCUCCUCCAGACCUGUGCUCCAAAUUCUAGACAGGGACUAAUGUGUAUAUCCCAUGUACCAGCACAGCCCACUGUGUCCACCUGACUUUAUACCACCUUAGCUAACCUUAAAGCUCAGCCCAGCCCUCACGUCCUAUUCUGUAUACCAGCCUGAUAUGUCCAUAUGCCUAUAUCUCAUUACAAAGUACAAAUAUGAGAGUCCAAGGAAGUAUUCCCACCCCCAAAUCCACCAGUCUUAAAGAAUUCAAGACAUUUAAAGAAAAAACAACUCGGCAACCUCAGAGAGAAUGAGCAAAAGAGAAAAAUGCCUGACAGAUCUUUAAGAAAACACAAAGAUAAGUUUGAUUAAAAUGACAAGGAUAAUCCAGGAGUUGAAAGCUGAAUUAUACUCGGCAACCCGCAGAAGCUUCUCUAACAUAGACCUCAUAUUGAGACGCAAAAACUCAGUAGACUGAAAUAAGACAUUACACUCUAUCUGGCCACAAUACAAUAAUAAUUAAGAUCGACAGCAAACAAACCUCUGGUAAGCACACAAACUCAAAGAGUUAACUUUGCUAAAUGAUGAGUGGGGCAAAGAACAAUGUCAAUUUUUAAAAUCCCAGAACUAAAUGAAAACACAACAAAACCUCUGGACACAUUAACAUCAUUCUUACAAGAGAAAUUUAUAGCUCUAAGUGCCUACAUUAAAAAUACAGAAAGAGCACAAAUGAAUGACUUAUAAAUAAUGUAACUCUAAAUUUGGAAAUGCAGGAACAAGCAAAGCCAAAACUCAGUAGACAGCAUGAAAUAAAAAAAAAAAAAAGGCAGAAAUUAAUGAACUGGAAAUAAAGAAGACAAUAUAAAGAAUUAACAAAUCUAAUAUCAGACUCUUUGAGAAGAAAAACAAGACUGGGGCUGGAGAGAUGGCUCAGUGGUUAAGAGCACUGACUGCUCUUCCGUAGACUCUGAGUUCAAAUCCCAACAACCACAUGGUGGCUUACAGCCAUCCGUAAUGAGAUCUGACAACCCUCUUCUGGGGUGUCUGAAGACAGCUACAGUCUACUUAGAUAUAAUAAUAAAUAAAUCUUCAGGCCAGAGCGAGUGGGGCAGACUGGAGUGAGCAGAGGUCCUGAAUUCAAAUUCCCAGCAACCACAUGAUGGCUCACAACCAUGAGUACAACUACAAUGUACUCAUAUACAUAAAGAAAUAAAUCUUUUUUAAAAAAAGAAAUAAAACAAGACUGAUAGACACUUUCCUCAACUAACUGAAAGGAAGAGAACACCUAACCUAAAUGAAGAGAAUCACAAAUGAACAGGGAUCUCUAAGUCCCUUCUUCCUACUGUGGGGCAUCUCAUCCUGGGAGUCCAGGACCUGGGAGUCCUGGGAGUCUCUCACCUCCCAGGUCUCUGGUGCACUCUGGGGGAUCCCCCCAACCUCCUAUUUCCUGAGGUUGCCUGUUCACAUUUCUUUCUGCAGCCCCACAGGGUUUCAGUCCUUUUCCCUUGCCCAAUACCAGAUCAGAUUCCCCUCCCCGCCCCCACUUGCCCUUCCAAGUCCCUUCCUCCCUCCUCACUUAUGAUUGCUUUCUUCUCUCUCCCAAGUGGGACCGAGGCAUCCUCACUUAGGCACUCCAGCUUGUUGAGCCUUUUGAAUUCUGUGGACUGUAUCUUGUGUUCUGUCUGAAAGAAUUACAGGGAUGGAAAUGGAGAGGAGGCUGAGGAAAAGAAGGUCCAGUGACAGGCCCAAAAUGGGAUCCAGCUCAAGGGGAGGUCCCAAGGCCUGACACUAUUACUGAGACUAUGGAGCGCUCACAAGACAGGAUCUAUCAUGACUGCUCUCUGAAAGACCCAACAAGCAGCUGAAAGAGUCAGAUGCAGAUAUUUUGCACCCAACCAAUGGACAGAAGCAGUUGACACCUGUUGUUGAAUUAGGGAAGGCUGAAAGAAACUGAGGAGAAAGGCGAUCCUAUAGGAGGACCAGCAGUCUUAAUUAAUCUGGACCCCCGAGAUCUUUCAAACACUGGACCACCAAACAGACAGCAUACACCAGCUGAUAUGAGGCCCCAACACACAUACAGUAGAGGACUUCCAGGUCUAUGUUCAUUCAGAUAUGAUGCACCUAAAUGGCAAGAGACUGGAGGCCCCAGGGAGUUUAGAGGUCAGAUGGGGUGGAGGGUGGGAACAUCCAUAUGGAGAGCAGUUGGGGGGUGAGAGGGGAGGGGCGGGGGAUGGAAUAUGGUUUAUAAAAAAUGAAUUACAAAUAAAAUUAAAUUUAAAAAAAUGAACAGGGAAAUAUCUCAACAAACAUCAAGAAUGCUUGAAAAUCCUGUACUCCAAGGUGGAAAAUCUAAAGGAAAUGGACAAAUUUCUAGAUUUAGUCAAACCACCAAAAUUAAACCAAGAACAGACCAACAACUUAAACAGACAUAUAAAGAGAGUUAAAACAGCAAUAUAAAGCCUUCCAACUAAAACAGAUCCAUGCCAUUUGAUUUUGAUUCAUAGCAUAACUCUACCAGGCUGUCAAAGAGUGUCAACAGCCAACCCUUCUUAAAUUAUAAGGGGGCAGGGAGAACAUCCCCAAGUUCUUUUUAUAAAGCCAAAAUUACUCUAAUACCAAAAUCAGGCAAAGAUAACAACAAGCAGGAAAAAAGAAAACUACAGGCCAAUAUCCCCGAUAAACAUAGAAUCAAAAUUUCUCAAUAAAUAAAAUAUUCACAAAGCAAAUAGAUUAUCCACCACGACCAAUUUGGCUUUAUGAGUGGUUCAACACAUAUAAGUCAAUAAGUGCAAUAAAUCACAUAAAUGGACUUAAAAGACAGUCAUCUCAAUAGAUUCAGAGAAAGCUUUUGACAAAAUCCAACAUACUUUCAUGACAAAAGGUCUAGAGAGAGUGGUAAUAGAGGUGAUAUAUCUCAACAUAAUAAAGCUAUAUAUGCGGAACUCACAGCCAAUGUUAUCCUAAAGAGAAAAACUUGAGGCAAUCCAUUGCAAUCAGGAACAAGACAGGGCUUCCAUUUAUCCCUGUUCCUUUUCAAUAUUAUACUUAAAGCACUAGCAGGAACGAUAAGAUAAGAAGAGACUAAAGGGAUACAAAUGGAAAAGAGACAUCUCCAUUUUUAGAUGACUUAUUACACUUAAGAUAUCUAAACAAUUCUACCCAAAAGCUUCUAGAAAGUCAACAGUUUCAGAAAGUGUCAAGAUACAGAAACUUGUCAAUAGAUUUUAUAUGCACCAAGGAUAAAUGCACAGUGAAAUAUGGACAUGCUUUGCUUGCAUUCAUAAUUGCCUAUAAGAACAUAGAAUACCUAGGAAUAAACCUAAGGCAGUGAGGACUUUACAGUGAAAACUUAAACCUCUGAAGAGAUAAAGACAGUAGAAGGCAGAAAGACAUCCCAUGUUCAUGGAUUGGUAGACUUACUAUUGUGAAAGUGACCACUCUGUCAAAAUCAUAUAGAGAUUCUAUAUAAUCCAAAUAAGAUUCCUCAUCUCAUUCUACACUGAAAUAGAAAAAAAAAAACCUAUCCUAAAAUUCAUAUGGACCCACCAAGGUUGAAUAGCCAAAACAAUCCUAAACAAAUGUAACAACACUGGAGAGGCUACCAUUCCAGACCUCCUUUUAUAGCAGAGUCACACUAAUAAAAAUGGUACAGUCCUGAGAAAACCAGACUUGCAAACCAAUGGAACAAAAUAGAAGACCCAAACAUGAGUACAAGUAGCUAUAGCUGCUAAUGAAGUGGAAACUUGUGGUUUCUUUGGAAAGUCGGUUAUUUCUUUGCUAGGGCACACACAUGAGAGGAUGUUUUGCUAAAGCAGGCAUGUAAAAGAAUGUUGCGCUGAAGCAGACACAAGUGAAAGGAUAUGUGAUGUUUAGAAAGAAUGUAAGUAUGACCCCAGACAGUGGGAGCUCAAGCAAUGGUUUGCCUUGCUCCGCCUUGCUAUUCUUUGCUGAUAACACACAUGUAUUGGUUUACCUUACAUUGUGUUGUUGAGCUUCACUUGUGGUGACAUCAUAGAGAGAAACUCACCCAAAACCAUCUUGUGAGGUUCCUAUGGCUUCUUGCCUCUUGCAGAGGAAUUGGACCAGUUGGGGAGCUUCUAGGUUUCUUCUGGAUUGCACUGACCUUGCUGAUUAGUUUGUGGUGUCUGCUGAGUGGACUGGACUGCAGUUGCUAAUGUGUGUUUGGUGUUUGUUAGUGGAUUGGACUGAGAAAAAAAGAUUGGAAAUGCCCCCAAAGAACUAUUUCUAAACAGGUCCACUUCCCCUGUGUCCUAAAACCUUUCUUUUCCACUACCUCUGGUGGGUGGUAAGCUAGAGGGAGGGUAAACCCUUAUUAAAGUAGGUUGUAAAAUUUUUAUGUCUACAAGCUAAUAUUUGCCAAAGAUGCAAAAAUAUGCACUGGAGAAAAUACAGCAUCUUUAAUAAAUGGUGCUGAGGGAUCUAGAAGUCCACAUGUAGAAGAAUGAAAUUAGAUGUAUUUCUCUUACUUCACACAAAAACUAACUCAAAUGCAUCAAAGACCUCAGUGUGAAGCAUGACACAGUGAAAAUGUUAGAAGACAACAUAGACAGCACCUUUAAGAUAUAGGUGUAGGAAAAUACUUUCUGAGUAGGAAUCAAUUUGCCAAAGAAUAAAGGCCAACAAUUUACAAGUAGGACUUCAUAAAACUAAAAGCUAAAGAAACAACAAGGUGAAGAAAAAAACCUACAAAAUAGAAGAGAAUCUUUGCCAGCUAAAUAUCUGUCUGACAGAGGAUUACUGGGCUUGUGAUCUGAAUAGAGUUCUCAAAAGAAGGAACAAAAAUGGCUAAGAAAUACCUUUUAAAAUGCUUAUUAGUAGCAAUUAGGGAAAUGUAAAUUAAAACACCUUGGAGAUUUACCCUAAUCAGAAUGGCAGAGAUCAACAAAACAACUGACAACAAAUGCUGAGGGGAUGUGGGGAGUAGGGAACCCUCACUCACUGUUGGUGGGAUUGCAAACUGGUCCAGCCACUCUGGAGAUCCCUGUGGCGAAUUCUCAAAACGCUAAAAAUAAAUCUAGCAUAUGACCCAGCUAUACCACUCCUUGCCAUAUACCCGAAUGGCUUGGCAUCCUACUCCACAGAUACUUGCUUAGCUGUGUUCAUUACUGCUCUAUUCAGUAAUAGAGCAAAAUAACAGAAUAGUUGGGAGAUGGAAACGGCCUAAAUGUCCUUCAACUGAUGAGUAGAUAGUGCAAAUGUGGUACAUAUACACUAUAGAAUACUAUACAGCUGUAAAUAAAAAUGAAAUCAUGAAAUUUGCAGGAGAAUGGAAAGUACUUUCUUACAUUAAAUGAGGUGAUCCAGUUCUGUAAAGACAAACAUCACAUGUUCUCAUUUAUCUGUGGCUUCUAGUUCAAAUCUUCAGAUGUGAAUGCAUAACCUGAAGUAGCCACAGAAGCCAAGGAAGUAUGUGUGGGGGGUGAUAAAGAGGAAAUAAUGGGAGUGGAGUAAUUUGAACAGGGAAAUAUGAAAAAAACAAGGCAGUAUGGUUAAUUGGAGAAGGAAGAGGGGAAGUAACACUGGAAUGUCUGGAAAAGUCACAAGGAAUAUUAUCUAUUUAUCUAAAAUUACAUAUAAUACAUAGUGUCUAUGUAUAUACACAUAUUUUAAAAUGAAAAUAUCCUAUCUCAGUUGGCAAUUCAUUGAUUUUCAACAUAUGAAUAAUGAAUUUGCUGACAAAUCACAAGCAAUUACACACACACACACAUACACACACACACUUUAAGAAUAAAAUACUGAAGAAAUAAAAGAUCUCUGAAACAGAAAUUACCAAACCCUGAAGAAAUAAGCUGAAGAUACUAAAAGGUAGAAAAUAUUCCAUAUCCUUCGGUUGAAAGAAUUAAUAGUUCUUUUAGCAAAAGCCAUCUAUGACUUCAGUGUAGUCCUCCAAAGUACCAAUGACAUUCAUCACAGAAUUAGAACUCACUUAGAAACACAAAGACCUUAAAGAGCCAAAGCAGCCUCAAGUCAUAAAUCUAAAACUGUAAAGAGUAAGGUUCUCUUCCCAGGGAAGUGAUGAAUACAGAGACUCCUCCUGCUCACAAUAAAUGCUGGUUGAGUGCUCAUCUCUAAACCAUGCCACUAUGUGUCAGGGAACCUUUGGUGGAGGGAAGGAAAGACUUAAGAGACAGCAGAAAUGGA